CUUGACUUUUGAGUCAAAGCUGAGACCAUGACUCAAAAUUGAGAACACACGAAGCUGGCACAUGAUCCACAAAGUGUAAGGAAAAAGAGAAUCAGGAUGAAGUAUUCUGCCCUCCCUCAAGCAGAUUUCCAAGAUUUUAAACAUGUAGAGAAUUCAUAAAAAUUUGGGUGAGAGCAUGGUGGCUGUCAGCAGCAAAUUAAAUUAGUCCCCCAAAAGAUGAGUCAGUUGAGCAGAAAUUUGUUGUGUGAGGAUGGUGGUUCUCUUGGAACUUGAUUAGCAGCAAGAAGGCUGGCAGCAGCUGUACACACAGGUGGGCUGGAAACAAGUGGUCCUGCAGCAGGUGGUCUCACAGCAGGCUGGGCGGCAGCAGGGCUGGCAGCAGUUGGAGCCACAGCUCUGGUU
rnacentral:lncRNA from 1 species